rnacentral:rRNA from 1 species
UACGGAAGGCAGCAGGGGGAAUAUUGCACAAUGGGCGCAAGCCUGAUGCAGCCAUGCCGCGUGUAUGAAAAAGGCCUUCGGGUUGUAAAGUACUUUCAGUCGUGAGGAAGGUGUUAAGGUUAAUAACCUUAGCAAUUGACGUUAGCGACAGAAGAAGCACCGGCUAACUCCGUGCCAGCAGCCGCGGUAAUACGGAGGGUGCGAGCGUUAAUCGGAAUUACUGGGCGUAAAGGGCACGCAGGCGGUUAAUUAAGUUGGAUGUGAAAUCCCCGGGCUUAACCUGGGAAUGGCAUUCAAGACUGGUUAGCUAGAGUCUUGUAGAGGGGGUUAGAAUUCCAUGUGUAGCGGUGAAAUGCGUAGAGAUGUGGAGGAAUACCGGUGGCGAAGGCGGCCCCUGGACAAAGACUGACGCUCAUGUGCGAAAGCGUGGGGAGCAAACAGGGAUUAGAUACC